rnacentral:rRNA from 1 species
UACAGAGGUGUCAAGCGUUGCUCGGUAUCACUGGGCUUAAAGGGCGCGUAGGCUGUGCGGUACGGUUCGGGUGAAAUCCCUCGGCUCAACCGAGGAACUGCCCGGGCGACGGCCGCGCUGGACUGCAUUAGGGGACGAUGGAACUCCCGGUGGAGCGGUGAAAUGCGUAGAUAUCGGGAGGAACACCAGUGGCGAAGGCGGUUGCCUGGAGCUUUGCUGACGCUGAUGCGCGAAAGCGUGGGGAGCGAUCCGG